CCCAUCCUCUACCUCACCUCAUAUCUCUUUCCCAUCUUUCUCUCUCUCAAACAACCCCCACCACCACUGUGAUAAUCACCACCAGAUCCAUCACACCACCGCCUCCGUAUAGAUCCACCACACCCAAGUUGGAGUUUACUUUUGUAUUAUGAAAAUCAAACACCAGAAAACCCAAGUUGGAGUUUACAUUUGUAUUAUGCAAAUCAAACACCAGAAAAAGCACGAAGCCAUUAUUAUUGAUAAUCUUCUAUAAACCAUUUUCAUCCAUUUUAUUUCUAUCACAACAAUCCCCUUAACUCGAAGGAUCAAACCCCAAAUAAGACACCAAACUCUUCUCCAUCCCUCUGUUCACUCAUCAGCUACCAAUGUCAAGUAAUCUAUUCCAAGGGCUUCUUCCCCCUUCUGCCCCCACCACCGCCGCCGUCACCACCACCUCCGUCAGAGCAACCGGAUCCGGUGAUCGCCAAAGUUUCUCCGACUCCACCUGCUCCCGCUCUCAAGAGCGCCCUUAAACGUUCCAAACCUCCCCAAUCCGAACCCCAAGCAAGGAUAAAUUUGAGCUAAGGAGAAGACUUCGAUUCAACAAAACUGAAAAUUUCAUUCACAAUGACUAUAGACGGUAACAAAUACAACAAUGAUCCAAAAGAACUUUCCAUAUUACAUUCCCAAGAUCCCACGUAUGAUAUCAUCGAAAUCGAAAUUUCUGAGCCCCAAUGGAAAGCUAUGUGGUUUGCCAUUGACUUGAUGACCCACAAAAGAAAAAAAGAAGCUCUGUCUGCUACUCUAAAAGGGAAAACAUUUAGGAAAGCUUUAUCUAGACUUUCCGAAGAAAGGAAACAAAGAAAAUGACUCUGGUUUGGUGGAGGGCUUGGAGCAACAGUUUUGAACUUUUUGCAAACUAACGCUGGAUGUAAAGUGAUCGUUGUUAACCGUGACAUCUCAAGUUUAUAAUAUCUGAUGGAUCUCUUCGAUGUUACAAUGCCGGUGGUGAUGAAAUUUAACAUCCCACUUAUGAGAAUCUUGGAUGACUGUGACCCAACCCUGCCAUAAACCCCUGAUGAGUAUGUUGAUGAAUUCCGUAAAGAAAACUUUGUUAUGUUUGAUCUGAUGGUAGUUGAUAUUCACGACUUCAGUUCCGUGUGGAUUGCACCCCUAGCUGAGUGGGUCACACUCGAGUCCAUAGCAAAGAUGAAGAAAAUUCUUACUUCCGAUGUAAUAGUCGUUAUUCGAUUUAUCGGGUUUGAUUAUUUUUCUUUUGUGAACUGUAUGGAGAAGACGAAACAAGUGUUUUGGAAAGUGCUAAAGAUUAAAGUCUCAUAAAAAAAAGUUUUGUACUGGUAGGCAUGUGUUUAUCUGAAGUUUAGCUUAUUUGGUGAAAUCUGGGACGUGCUCCUCCACCUUGGCUGCAGCAGUGGAAGUAUCUUCAGGAGAACACAUUUCUACAAGUACCAUUAAAUCCAAUCUUUCCUUUUCUCUCAACUCUCUCCUUCUCUCUAUAUAACUUUAACCCCCCCCCCCCCCAGCGACAACCAUUUUCAUCCAACAAAUUGACCCCUAACCACUCAUAGAAGCUAUCUCAAAUGCCCUCUAGCACACUAACAACCUCAUCCCCAUUACUCAUCCAGAUAAUUUGUUUAUCACCGAUACUUUGACCACCAAACAACUUGCUAGAAACAUUAAAAACCUUAAUCGCCAUCCUACAAUACACCUGUUUCUUUUCAAUUGCAACUUUCCCACCCAACUUCUUUGAGCACAACCCCCCCAUAGCCGCCCUAACGAGUUUGCUUAGUUUACUUGGCCACCACUGUUGUAGAGAGUUGCAUAGAGUUCUGGCAACGAAGAUUGAUUGACGUAUGCAUAUUUUUGAAACGAAAAAGAGAUAGAGAGUUCAAACAACGCAACAGUAUGCAUUGCUUGAACCGAUUUGUGGUCACUAUAAUAGAUCGAUUAAGGUAUUUAGUGGCCUAGUUUUGUUGCGCGUUGUGGUGAUGCUCACAAGUUUUGGAGAGUAUAGAGAGACAGGUUCAAAGAGAGAGAGGUCGAUGGGUAGAUAUAUUUGCAUCUGAUGUUUAUAAUUACAUUUAGGGUUCGGGAAUUGGGAAAGAUGAUGUUUUUAUAUAUGUAAUAUUUUUGAUUUUAUUUAAUAAUGAAAAUUUUAUAUAAAAGAAUGAAACGACCAGAAUACCUUUAAGUGGAUAGACAUAACUGAAAAUUUUAAGUUAGUGUUAAAUGACGAAAGGUGUAAUGCGUUUUCAAAAUAAAGGAUUGUGACUGUAAUUACGAAAGUUAAAGGCCUCCAUUGCAACCCGCUACAAACGUAAAGGACGAAAAGUGUAAUUUACCCUAGGAGUUUUCUAGUGCCAAAAGUCUCGCCUAUGUGAAGCGCUCAAUUCACGCUUUGCACCUUGGCUUUAAGGGCCUAAUCACCUUGUUGUCACUUUAAGGGUCUUUAUUUAAUCAGGACACACAAGCGAUACAAACUUGAUAGUUUGUUAUAUAUUAUGAGUCGAUAUCAUAAGGGAUGUCAUAGUGAAUAAUUUUGGAGAAAGGGGUUAAAAAAAACGAAUUUUAGCUCCAAUGACCUUGAUUUAGUGUGAAAAACCACAAAAAAAAAAAAAAAAAAA